UACGUAGGUCCCGAGCGUUAUCCGGAUUUAUUGGGCGUAUAGCGAGCGCAGGCGGUUUGAUAAGUCUGAAGUUAAAGGCUGUGGCUUAACCAUAGUACGCUUUGGAAACUGUUUAACUUGAGUGCAGAAGGGGAGAGUGGAAUUCCAUGUGUAGCGGUGAAAUGCGUAGAUAUAUGGAGGAACACCGGUGGCGAAAGCGGCUCUCUGGUCUGUAACUGACGCUGAGGCUCGAAAGCGUGGGGAGCAAACAGG
rnacentral:rRNA from 1 species